AAAAAAAAGCCAAUCUGACAGAUUGGGUAUGGGGAAUGAAGAGGCAAAGCGGAUUAUAGGUUAUUGCCUUUAGCAAAGAUAAGGGUGUAAUCGCUAUUUUGUGAAUGGGGAAGACUAUGGGAAGAGUAGAACUUGUGGGAAGAUUUUAGACGCUCUGUUUUGAGCAUGUUGUAUUUUUCAUGCUUAUCGGAGUGGUUUAGGGAUAAAUAUUUGCUAUUCAUUACAGCAUAGAUUGUAUAUAAGGAGCUGAGAAUAGAGAAGUGGCCCCAAUACUGAGCUGUGGUGCUUUCGAUUGUUGAGGGUAUAGGAAAACACAAAAGAGACAGAAGGUACAACCAAUGAGGUAGGAGGACAAUGGCCAGUGUCAUAUCUCAGAAGCCAAGUGAAGAAGGUACUUCCAGGAGGGUAGAGUGAUCAAUUUAUCUGAUGUUGCUGGUGAGUCAGGUAAAAUGAAGACCGAGAAGUGACCAUUGGAAUUAGAAAUAUGGAGGUCAUUGGUGGCCUUGACAAGUGGGUUUUGGUGAAGCGGUAGGGAGGAAACCCUGAUUGGAGUGGAUUCAAGAAAAUCAGAGGAGUUAGAGACAGUUAAUAAACUUUUAAAGGAAACUAACUCAGAGAAAAGGUGUAAUAUGUGGAAGGAAAGAUGGAGUCAGGGGAGAAUUGUUUUUAUAAGAUAGAAAGAAAUCAAAGCAUAGUCAUAUGCUAAUAGGAAUAUGCUGGAGAGGGGCACCCCAAUGGCCCAGUUGGUUAAGCAUCUGACUCUUUGUUUUGGCUCAGGUCAUGAUUUCAGGUUCCUGAGAUCAAGUCACAUAGUGGGCUCCAUGCUCAUCCCAGAGUCACUUGUCCCUUUCCCUCUGCUCCUCCUGCUCUCUCUCUCUCUGGUAUUAAUAAAUGAAAUCGUAAAAAAAGAAUAAUAAUAAUAAAUAAAAAAGAAUAUACUACUGGAAAGAAGGAAAAAUAAAUAGCAUGAGAUAGAAAAGAAGAGUUUAACCAUUCCUGCUAUAGGCAGGAAGAGAUGAGACUUGGUAUGCACAUGGAGGACUUGGUUCCAGAUGGGACCAGGGGCAGCUCUUCUGUGGCAGCAGAAGGGAAGACAAAAUACGUGCACACAGAAGCAGCUGGUGGGCAGGUGGAUCCUGGUGAGAACUUGUGGAAAUUCUCUUCUGAUUGUUUCUGCCCUGUCAACAAAAGAGGAAACAAGGUCAUUAAUGAGAAGGAGAAUGGAAGAGGAGGCAUCGGAGGUGAGGAGAGAGCACAGAAUAGACUGUGGUAGGGAAACAGUUUAUGGUUGUCGAGCAGCAUGAAAGGCACUCCUGAAGGAAGAAGUCAUGAUUUUAAAGUGAGACCAGUUGGCUUGGUUUGUUGGUUGUAGCCAUGUUCAGAGGCAGGAGUACACCCACAAAUUAGGUGAAUUAUAUUUAAUUCUGGUUGAUGUGAUGUGGAAGAGAGAGGGAUGCAAGGGGUUUGAAGUAUAUGGGAGAGGAAGAGACGAUAGGCCGCGGAAUGUAGACUGAGCGUGGUGGAAGAGAGGUGUGGGGAGUGAAGGACACCGGAAGGGUGUUUGGAUCAUUCUAUGGUUAGGUCCUAUUGAGGCUGAAGAAUUGUUAGAAUUGAGUAAGAGAAGAAAGAGUGAGCUUAAAAGACCAGACAUGGGGUUUGGAGUAGCACACCUGAAAUUGAGCGGGUGAGGUUGCAGUUGUUGAUAUAGACGGAUCUAGAGCAAGACCCUCUAGGUGAAACACAAUGCAAGCUAUGUAACGGCAUUUGAAGUUUUCUAGGAGCUUUAACCUUAAAAAUAAGUGACAUCACUUUUAAUUUACUUUACUUAUUAGCUCAAUAUAUUUAAAAAUAUUAUUUCAACAAGUAAUGUAAAAGUUACGGAGAUAUUUUACUUUUUUUGUAUGAAGUGUAAAAGCCAAGUACAAAAAAUGUUUAGCGUUUUUGAGUCACAUUUCAAGUGGUCAGUCGUUGUUUGUGUUUAGUGGCUAUUAUACUGCUGGGAGCAUGUGAGCCCGGGAGGGAGUGAUUGAGGGAGAAUGGAAGACAAGAUAGGCAGAGAACCCAGGCUAGGGGAUUGGUAGACUCGUGUCCACCACUGAUCUGCGCAGAGCUUAUGCAGAGCUUUUAGAGUAAUUAACAAUCUAAUAAACUUUUAACCUUUAAAUUUAGUUUGUGCAAUUACAAUUUAACUUUCCUGAGAUGUGCCCCAGUUUUUAACAAAGCCUAAAUCUGGUGUGUGUGUUGGAUACCUUAAGUGCUACAUCUUUCUCUGCAAAGACAGAAGACACACUUCUUGUUUGUCCUGUAGCUUUUGCAUUCUUUGUCCUAAUGCUUUGCAUGGCCUCUAUAUUAAGGCAGUCUCUAGUUUCAAGCUUGGGAUGUGGUAAUGUCAUCCAGACUUUUCAGAGCCCUGGCCGGAUCUCACUGUAUUUUAUCAAAAGUGUGUCAGUGCCAAAGACUUGUCCAGCGAACGUUAAAACCACUUAAGGAAUUUAAGACUACGACAUGCAACACCACAACAAGUCAAAACUUGGAUUUGUUCUUUCCUGAUACAGCAGCUGGUGGUUUGAAUAAGUCCCAGGUCCUGGAAAGGAAUCAGAAAAUCUCAAAUACAAGCAUACUCUCUCCAUUAAAUGCUGUGCAUUGCCAAGAAGAAAAAGUGCACCUUCCAACCAGGAAAUCUUUUGGUACUCACAGGAAAGUGACUCACAGACCAAAUCUAUUAGGUUCUAAGUGGUUUAUAAAAACAUUAGAGCGGCAUUACUCAUCUAUAUCAACAGAAACACUUGUUCCUAAGCAAGACUUUCCGCAAAUCAAGAGACCACUAAAGGCAUCGAGGACCAGGCAGCCAUCCAGGACCAACCUUCCAGUUCUGUCUGUCAAUGAGGACCUGAUGCACUGCACAGCAUUUGCAACUGCAGAUGAAUAUCAUCUUGGGACUCUCUCUCAAGAUCUGACCUCCCGUGGAUAUGUUGAAGUAACAAGCUUGCCUAGAGAUGCAGCAAAUAUUUUGGUGAUGGGUGUGGAGCACUCGGCAAAAGAAGGCGAUCCUGGAACAAUAUUCUUCUUCAGAGAAGGAGCUGCUGUGUUCUGGAAUGUGAAAGACAAGACUAUGAAGCAUGUGAUGCAGGUCUUAGAAAAGCAUGAAAUCCAGCCCUAUGAAAUCGCGCUGGUGCACUGGGAAAAUGAAGAGCUUACCUACAUAAAGACAGAGGGACAGUCGAGACUUCACAGAGGGGAAAUCAGAUUAAAUUCAGAGCUAGAUUUAGAUGACGCCAUUCUAGAGAAAUUUGCUUUCUCUAAUGCUCUUUGCCUUUCAGUGAAACUGGCUAUUUGGGAGGCAUCACUGGAUAAAUUUGUUGAGUCUAUUCAGUCAAUUCCAGAGGCUUUAAAAGCUGGGAAGAAAGUGAAACUAUCUCAUGAAGAAGUUAUGCAGAAAAUGGGUGAACUCUUUGCCCUGAGACACCGUAUAAACUUGAGUUCAGACUUCUUGAUCACUCCCGAUUUCUACUGGGACAGAGAAAACCUGGAACAGCUUUAUGAUAAAACCUGUCAGUUCCUUAGCAUCACUCGUAGAGUUAAGGUCAUGAAUGAAAAACUUCAGCACUGUAUGGAGCUGACAGAUCUAAUGCGGAAUCACCUGACUGAGAAGAGGGCGCUCCGCCUGGAGUGGAUGAUUGUCAUCCUCAUCACCAUCGAGGUAAUGUUUGAGCUGGGACGAGUAUUUUUCUGAUCAAGUGAUAAUCAGAGAAGAGUUAACAGUACAAGAGAUAUUCAAGUUCUACAAUCAAAAAUAAAUGCUCACUGUUGGGGAAAUCUCUUAAUAGGUGUAACAGAAGAAAAUUUUUCAUGAUCACAACUUCUUUAACAACAAAAUGAGAAAUCCUACCAGAAGACUAAGGAAAGCCUAAAGUAUCUUCACCUUGGUGAAGCACUCCUCAAAGUGGUAUCAAAUUUCUAUCACUCAUGAGAGGAGUGACUAAGACCAACCUAGAUUUGCAUUCCUCACCACCACCUACUAGCUCUAUCACCUUGGGCAAAUCACUGAACCUCUCUGGGUCUAAGUCUCUUAAUCUGUAAAAUGGUUUUAACAGUACCACUACCUCAGAGAGCUGCUGUGAGGAUUAAUGGAAUUAACACAUGUGAAGCUACCAGUUUACUGUUAUUACAAACCAUCUGAGUAUAAAAUCUACUGGAUUCUGAAAUAAAACAAGUUGACUAUUCAGUGCAUGCCCCAAAAGGCUUUUAAACUCUACAUAUUUUGUAUGUACCAGGCAGCUGCCAAUAGGCAUUCUGGAGUGCCGCCUUCAGAUAAUCACAGCAGUCAGAAACAGGAAUAUUUUUACAUAUAAAAUUAAUAUACUGCUUCUACUCUCAAACAUUUUUUUUACAAAACUUAAUCAUAUUCACCUAUUUUUAAUUCCAAAGUGUGGUGCUCAGACCAAUUCCCCAGCAAACAUUUAGGUGCCCCUGAUUUAUAUUCUUGUGUUUUGCAAUCAGGAUUUCUGAGGCUGCAACUAAGGAAUAUUUUUUUACAACUCUCCAAGAGAUUCCCAUACUCCCUAUACUGAGAAGCAAAGAUACAGAUUUUUCAGUAAUUCAUUAAUGAGCACCUUCUUGUUCCAUUUAAUGUACUAAGUACUGAAUCUCCUCAGGUAAUUCCUUUUCUUUCCCUACCCCAAUCUCCUCAUGCUCUCCUCUCCCUGCCUUUACAAACUUUAUGUGUGGGGCCCUUGCUGUGAGAUGAUGAAGAUGAGCAGAGGAAGCUUUUCCAAAUACUUCCAAUCCAAGCCUAUCAACUUUCAAUUUUCCACUUAUUAUGAAUUGCCAUGUUUAAAAUUAGUUUUAAGGCCACUAUUCCAAAUUCCCUUUCCUUAUGGGACCUUUCCUCAGGGAUUUAAGGGAACAGGAUUUUUUAAAGGCCACAUUUUUUUCACUCCUUCUGCACAAUUUGAAACAUAGAUUUAAAUGUUAUCUUUAAAAAGCAAAAUGCUUCAGAGCACCAGGGUGGCUCAGUCGGUUAGAUGUUCAACUCUUGGUUUCUGCUCAGGUUCUAACCUCAUGAGUAAUGGCAUAGAGCCCUGGCAUCAGGCUCCAUGCUCAGGGGGAGUCCACUUGGAUAUUCUCUCCCUUUGCCCUUUUCCUGUGCCGUGCCUGCGUGCUCUUUCCAAAUAAAUAAAUCUUUAAAAAAUUUUAAAAAUAAAAAACAAAAUGUUUCAACAUGUCCUAGACUGUUAUGACAGAAUAGGCUGGAAAGCACACAACUGUAAAACCUAGUCACAGAGACCCUUUUUUUCAUGUAAUACAACAAAUACUCAAGAUGUGCUACUCUACGCUCCAAAAUAUAGUUGGCAGAGAUCAUGAAAAGGGCUCCUACUUUCAUGAAGCUUACAUUUAAAUGAAAGUUGUAGGACAAGUAAACAACUAAUCUACUUAAAGAUAGCAGAUGUUCCACAAAGAAAUCUCUGAAAAAAUCAGGAAAGGUGAACACAACAGUUAAACUAAAGAACCUAAAAUUUACGUGCAAUUUAGACAGCACUAGAACUGAAAAGAAGCCCAAAACAGGAGAGAUCCUGGUAAGUAUGAAUUUGACUUUCAAUCUAGCUUUUUUUUUUUUUUAAGACUUAUUUAUUUAUUCAUGAGAGACAGAGAGAGAGAGAGAGAAGAGGGCAGAGACACAGGCAGAGGGAGAAGCAGGCUCCAUGAAGGGAGCCUGAAUGGGGACUCGAUCUCGGGUCUCCAGGAUCACGCCCUGUGCCGAAAGCGGCGUUAAACCACUGAGCCACCCAGGCUGCCCCUAAUCUAAGCUUCAAUACACAAGUCUUAAAAACCUGCUUACAAGAAUUUAAUACUGCUAAUACAGAAAUAUGUAACUUGACUACUUCUUGAACUCAUCACACAAAGACAGAGGGCAACAAACCAACAAAAAAAUGAAUUCCAGUCAAAUCUAAGCCACCAAACAUUCGUCUUUAAAUUCAGAGUAUUGAUCUUAAUCUAAAAAGUCUCAUGUGGUUUAGGUUCUGGUUACCUUAGAGAUUUUGACUCUAAGCACUCUGAUGGCAAGUAUGAUUAGUUUGAAUACUUGUCCUGUGGUUCACUAAUGAAAUCUGAUAAACUGGAAUCCUCAAAUUUUAUAUGGUUCUUUCAGAUCCUGGAUUUCCUGGCACUGAGAGGUUUCCUGCAGCAGCCAGACUUCCAGUGGUAGGCUAGGGAAGACCUGAGCAAAGCAGCCAGCUGAUUAUCCUAGCUUCAGACCACAUUUUAGAAAUUAAUGUUUAGACAACUUUUUCACAGGACUCUCCUGCCACUCGCAGAUCUUUAAUAUGGAUAAACUACUAAAAAUAGGAAUCUAGGGGAUCCCUGGGUGGCUCAGCGGUUUAGCGCUGCCUUCAGCCCUGGGCAUGAUCCUGGAAUCCCAGGAUCGAGUCCCACAUUCAGACUCCCUGAAUGAAGCCUGCUUCUCCCUCUGCUUAUAUCUCUCUGCCUCUCUCUCUCUCUCUCGCUGUGUCUCUCAUGAAUAAAUAAAAUCUUUUAAUAAAUAAUAAAAAUGGGAAUCUCCCCCACCAGUGAUCAAUCCCUUUCAUAAAGAAAAACAAGUGGGUAUCAUACACAGACACAGUUACCAGGGGAAGUAGUGUUUCCCUGUAAAUUUCGUCACUGAUUUCACUUUCAAACAUAAAAAUCCCAAGUCAAACACAAUUCUAUGAACAAAAAUUCAGAUGCAGAUUUCUAAGAAAGAUUUCUAAAUUAAAAUAAAUGUCUUAAAAAUCAGUUGUGACUACUGAGAUUCAUGUUACAAUUUGGAGUCCUUCACCCAAUUUGGCUGGGGAAAGAAGCCAAGGCUACAUAUUACACAACUCCAUUUAUAAAACAUGCUAAGAGACAAAAAUGAUGAUGGAGAACAAAUCAGUGGCUGUCGGGGAUAUCAAGUGGGAGGAGGUUAAGUAUACAAAAAGACAGCAUGGGCAAGUUUUUUGAAAGUGGUAGAAGUGAUCUGUAUUCUAACUGAUGGUAGUUACACAUAUAUUUAUCUAUGUUACUUCAAAGAACUAUACACCAAAAGAAAAAAUUUCACUGUAUAAUUUUAAAAAUUUCUUUCAUCAGUGAUUACUUCAAAAAUACCUUAAUGACCUUAUCAUGUACUGAGGUACUGUGCUAAGCCCCCUUACAUACAUUCUUAUUUUAUAGGCACACAAACCUGAGAGAUAAAUAUUAUCCCUAUUUGAGUAAAAACAAAAACAAAA